rnacentral:rRNA from 1 species
GACGAACGCUGGCGGCGUGCUUAACACAUGCAAGUCGAACGGAAAGGCCCUGCAUUUGUGGCGAGUUCGAGAGGAGAAAGGGGGAGUAUAACGUGAGUAACCUGUCCUUGAGAUUGGGGUACAAUAUGGAAAAUGGGGUUAAAACAGCGCAGGAGCUCCUGCUGCACGGUGGGGGAGGGUAAGAUACGCCGGUUUGGGACGGACACGCGGUUCAUCAGCGUGUUGGCGGGGUAGUGGAUUAACAAGGCACGGAGGGGUAGCCGGAUUGAGAGUGUGACCGGCCACAAUGGGAUUGAGAAACGACCCGUACUGCUACGGGAGGCAGGAGUGGGGAUUAGUGCACAAUGGGCGGAAGCCGGAUGCAGCGUCUCCGCGUGCUGGAUGACGGCCUUCGGGUUGUAAACCUCGUUCGCCUGGGACGAAGCGUAAGUGACGGUAACUAGUAAAGAAGCACCGGCUAACUACGUG